rnacentral:rRNA from 1 species
GACAGAGGAUGCAAGCGUUAUCCGGAAUGAUUGGGCGUAAAGCGUCUGUAGGUGGCUUUUUAAGUCUGCCGUCAAAUCCCAGGGCUUAACCCUGGACAGGCGGUGGAAACUACCAAGCUGGAGUACGGUAGGGGCAGAGGGAAUUUCCGGUGGAGCGGUGAAAUGCGUAGAUAUCGGAAAGAACAUCAGUGGCGAAGGCGGCUUCCUGGACAUAUACUGACGCUGAGGCGCGAAAGCAUGGGUAGCAAACAGG